rnacentral:rRNA from 1 species
CUCAGUUCGGAUUGGAGGCUGAAACCCGCCUCCAUGAAGUUGGAUUCGCUAGUAAUCGCGCAUCAGCCAUGGCGCGGUGAAUACGUUCCCGGGCCUUGUACACACCGCCCGUCAAGCCAUGGGAGCCGGGGGUGCCUGAAGUUCGUUACCGCAAGGAUCGACCUAGGGCAAAACUGGUGACUGGGGCUAAGUCGUAACAAGGUACC